GAUCUUGGCCGAGCGGUUAAGGCGAUAGACUCGAAAUCUAUUGGAGUAACCCGCGUGAGUUUAAGUCUCACAGCUGUCG
rnacentral:tRNA from 1 species